AAGAGACACACCAACUAAGUCAGCUGAGACGGAGGCAGAAACAACUUGUGUCUGCAGGAGUCAUCCACCAUAUACACCAUGAUAUGGAGGUCUGACAACACCACCGAGUCCCAGGGUGAGGGACCAGAGAGAGACAGAAAGAGAGACACACAGUUUACUGAAGGAAAGCAGUGCAUGCAGGUGGUGGCUCCUGUGACGAUAACCUGUGACCAUACCCCUUCCAGUGAGCUGUGGUGGACGGUCAGGUUCCCAGCAUAUGGAAGAUAAACAAUGGCGCAGCAGGACAUGGUGCUGUGGAAAGACCCCCUGCCAUUUCCAGCUGGUACCUUGGAUCAAUGUAAAUUCAUUGACCUCUCUGCCAUGGCUGUUAAUGUGACUUCUUAUGAUGUGGGUUCCUAUUCACUGGAAAUGGGACUCUGCUAUUUGGAGUGGCAUAUUCUGUAGUGCUAGGUUGUCCCACUGAGCAAGAAAUAAAUGAAUGAUUCUCCCAUAGUUUGUUCUCUCUCUGAC